rnacentral:rRNA from 1 species
AUUGAACGCUGGCGGCAGGCCUAACACAUGCAAGUCGAACGAGUGGCGGACGGGUGAGUAAUGUCUGGGAAACUGCCUGAUGGAGGGGGAUAACUACUGGAAACGGUAGCUAAUACCGCAUACCAUCAGAUGUGCCCAGAUGGGAUUAGCUAGUUGGUGGGGUAACGGCUCACCAAGGCGACGAUCCCUAGCUGGUCUGAGAGGAUGAACAGCCACACUGCAACUGAGAUACGGUCCAGACUCCUACGAGAGGCAGCGGUGGGGAGUAUUGCACAAGGGGCGGAAGCCUGAUGCAGCCAAGCCGCGUGUAUGAAGAAGGCCUGCGGGUUGUAAAGUACUUUCAGCGGGGAGGCGUUACCCGAAGAAGAAGCACCGGCUAACUCCGUGCCAGCAGCCGCGGUAAUUC